rnacentral:misc_RNA from 1 species
CAACACUCAAGCUCUGCUUGGUAUUGGGUGCCACCUUGCAAUUGUGGUGCAUCUCAAAAUCAGUGGUGGUGCCAUUUGGCCUCAAGCGUAGUAAAAAUUUCUCGCUUUGGGGGUCUUAUGUGUACUUGCCAACAACUAAUUUUUAAU